rnacentral:rRNA from 1 species
GAUGUGGAGGAACACCAGUGGCGAAGGCGACUCUCUGGUCUGUAACUGACGCUGAGGAGCGAAAGCGUGGGGAGCGA